UCUAGGAGUUGAAAUUGUAAAAUUUUCAAUUUCUCUUUUAUAUUGCUUUAUUUUCACACCCUUCUCUUUAGAUGAAUUUUCAAGAAAAUUGUUGAAUUAUUCUUAUUUAAUUUUCUAGUCUUGUUAUCCUGCUUCCUUGUGGCAUGCUCAAGGAGAUUAGUUAGAGAGAUUACCUUUACUUUUUGAAUCGAUGAAGCAAUUUCUGAUGGGUGUAUAAUGGCUGCUAUAAAGUGCAACUUAAUGGAGCCAAACAUUAAUUUUGAGAAAUCACAUAUAAAAGGGGAAUGAAGUACCACGUAUGAAAAUCAAGGUAGUAUAUUAAGGCUUUCCGACAAAUUUAAACUUUAUUAUGAUUGUUGUCCCUUUUAAGUCUUGUACAUCAUCUUCAAGGGUAUAUUUUAUUCAGUACAAACUAUUCUUGAUUGUGAAAAUAAUGUACAACUCCCUCUAAUAUUUGCUUAUUUUAUUAUCUUCUUCAUGAUAUGAGGCACAUCCUACUUUGGGAGACAACAAUAGUACAAUUAAUGUAUUUCUUAAAUUUAUGUGCAUGGCUGGACCACUGUGUAUCACAAUUUUUAAAGAGAGCGAUUUGAAUGCUUUCAUUAGGCUUGAA